CACUCCCUGUCCCCGCCCCACGCCCUAUUGUCCCACCGGUCUCCACACCUCUGUCCCCUCCGCGGUACCAGGCGACCCCAGGAGCGCUUCGGGGACCGAGCUGGACUGAGCCUCAAAGGGCUUCGGCACACAGUGCUGAAUACGUUGGCAUUCCCUUCGCUCGCCGCGCUCCGGGCCUCGCCACCGACUCCCUCCCGGCCGGCUCCCCGCGGUGGCGGAGGACCGACUGCCCGCAGGCACCGGCAACCCGGCUGCGGGGCGGCCCUCUGGGCAAAGGCGCGUCCUCCCCGGUCGCGGGAAGGGGUUCUGGCCUCGGGGCCUCGGAACCAAAGGAACGGCUCGUGAGACAGGCUCUUCCGACCAGAUGGGAAAUGAAAAUCGGUUUCGUUUUUCGCACGCAUCUCAUCCACAGACCCCAGUGAAACCAUUUUGAUCCUCUGGAGAACUCGGCUGUCCAUCUAAUUCAGUUUUCGAAGUGACCUCCGUGCGGGUUAGCAGGUCAAGGCGCUGAAGCCCACGCCCCAUGUAGACACCUGGGAGACCCGGACGCUCACCCACGCGGCGAGAGCGUCGGGGAUGGGCACAGCGACCUUCCAGAAUUCCUGGAAGCCGCAGCCCCUCUUCACGACGGAGCAGCCAGGGGCCGUGCUAUACCACCGGCUGCAAACUACCGAGCACCCCAGUUCCUGCGCAAGCGCUGCGAUCGGAUUAAGCGAGGCAAAAGGAAAAAAGUUGGGCUCGUCCGGGAUUUGAACCCGGGACCUCUCGCACCCUAAGCGAGAAUCAUACCCCUAGACCAACGAGCCGAUGUGCAUUCGGUCCUCCUGUCAUCAUAAAGGUCGAUAGAAAUG